CCACGGGUGGCUGCAGUGGGGAAUAUUGGACAAUGGGCGAAAGCCUGAUCCAGCCAUGCCGCGUGUGUGAAGAAGGCCUUCGGGUUGUAAAGCACUUUCAGUGGGGAAGAAAGCCUUGGGGCUAAUACCCUCGAGGAAGGACAUCACCCACAGAAGAAGCACCGGCUAACUCCGUGCCAGCAGCCGCGGUAAUACGGAGGGUGCGAGCGUUAAUCGGAAUUACUGGGCGUAAAGCGCGCGUAGGCGGUCUGAUAAGCCGGUUGUGAAAGCCCCGGGCUCAACCUGGGAACGGCAUCCGGAACUGUCAGGCUAGAGUGCAGGAGAGGAAGGUAGAAUUCCCGGUGUAGCAGUGAAAUGCGUAGAGAUCGGGAGGAAUACCAGUGGCGAAGGCGGCCUUCUGGACUGACACUGACGCUGAGGUGCGAAAGCGUGGGUAGCAAACAGGAUUAGAUACCCGUGUAGUC
rnacentral:rRNA from 1 species